UAUACCUAAUACCUGCUAACAGGUUGUCCUGGUGGCCAAAGACGAUCAGCUCCUGGGGCAUGCCUGUAUUGCCUGGUCUAUAUCCUGCAGGAUGCUCCAUGCUCGAAUCCCUCCUAUUGUGUAAUAGUACACCCUCCUCUGAUCAUCUGCGGAACUUUGGGAACUGGGUAUUAUUCUGACUCAUGGUGAUACCUGAAGCUGUCGUGGGGGCCAACCUGGAGGACGUCUGCCACACUCAGACUCUCUCAUGGACCACAACUAAAAACUGGACAAAAAGCAGGAAGCAACCACCACAAUAACGAGGAGUUCACUAGCAGAGAGACCGAGAAGAGACCAAAUUGGAAGAACAACAUUUAGGAGCUAUCCUUCAGAGAAACAUAUCUUAAUCUGAGUCCUGAGGAAAUGUGGAAUCUCUGCGCCCUUAUGAAAACACUACUCAAUAAAUAAAAGACAACGGAGGAUAUAGCAACGUAGUUACUCAGAAAUGAAUA